rnacentral:rRNA from 1 species
UACGGAGGGGGCUAGCGUUGUUCGGAAUUACUGGGCGUAAAGGGCGCGUAGGCGGUAUCAUAAGUCAGAUGUGAAAGCUCCAGGCUCAACUUGGGAGGUGCAUUUGAGACUAUGGAACUAGAGAUCGAGAGAGGAAAGUGGAAUUACGAGUGUAGAGGUGAAAUUCGUAGAUAUUCGUAAGAACACCAGUGGCGAAGGCGACUUUCUGGCUCGAUACUGACGCUGAGGCGCGAAAGCGUGGGGAGCAAACAGG